UUAAGUUGAAAACAUAUUAAUUAGUGGAAGUACAGAGGGAUAAUUUCCACUCAAUGUUUCCUUUUCAACAAGUCAAUGAUAAUGAUAACCACCAGCUCCUUUAUCUGCCAACAAACACCAAUUCUUCUUCUUUUCUAAAUUAUCAAGACACCACCCAUGUCCAAGAUCUUAUUACGGAUCUUGCUCCAUUCGAUUCAUUAUUGGAAGUGGACACAAAUUACUUUAACUUGAACAACACCAGAAAUAUCAAGAGGAAGAGCAAAAACAUUCCAAAAAGAAUUCUAGGAACUCAACUGUGCAAAUUUUAAUCGUUCAGAGGCUCUACGCAAAGGGAAAGCAUUAGUUUGAUUGUUCGUGGCACUCGUUCGGCAUUGAGAGACGAUCCAGGUUCCAGUUCUACACCCCGUGGCUGAUACGCGAGGGUGACAUCUUCAGUCAUUCAGGGUGAGCUACUUGGUCAUCCGUGGCCCCUGAAUGACCUCCUCUAUUUAUUUCGGUUCUUGUAUUCUACAGACAAUAUGUAGCCUUCGGGUAUUUUCAGACUUCUAUUCCGUACUAUGUUAGCGCUCUUGUACCCUUUGACCAGAUUUUGGGGUUGUCGUGACAUUUCUAAUUAUGAUAAGCA